UCUUCUUCUUCACCAAUUUGGACGGCAACAAGGGUCCUUUCUCUCUCCUAAUUUCUUCCCUUGGUGCUUGAAAGAAAGAUUGUUUCUUUCUUGAAUCAAAAAUCUAGAAAUUGUUUCUAACCACCUACAUCCAUUAGAAAAUCACCAAAAGCAAGUACCCUAAUAGUUAGUGGUUGGCAAACACCUAAGAGAGGAUUUGAGUUGUCAAAGGUGAUCUUGGUGGUAGCUUGUGAUGGAUAAGCUAGAGGAGCUACAAGUAGAGCUCUGGAGACUACCAAAGGGGGUAAGGAGUGUGAUUCUGCACCUUUGAGGAAAAAAUUUUCAAAAGCAUUGAGUCUCUCAUCCCUCUUUUCCCUCAUCUUAGUGGAGGUGUGGAGCCUGCUUAGUGGACCAGCAAGGAGAUAAGGACGUGUAGUGUGGCCCAACAAGGGAAAAGGCUAAGUUUAUCUUUGAUUAAAAGAGAAUAGAAGCAGUUUGAAGAAGUGAUUUUUAGUGUCAACUGAUCCAGGUACUGGAGAUCAGUCCCAGCACCUGCAGCAGCAGCACCAGUAGUGCACUGACAGAGCUCUAACCAGAUUUACCAUUGUCCAGAGUCACGUCACCGGUCUUUUGUAUUUUGGUAGGGCCCAUGUAUAGACUAGUAUUUUGGUUCAUUAUGUUUAGUCAUGAUGUAAUUACUAGUUUAUGAUGUAUUUCAU